GUGGGGAAUCUUGCGCAAUGGGCGAAAGCCUGACGCAGCCAUGCCGCGUGAAUGAUGAAGGUCUUAGGAUUGUAAAAUUCUUUCACCUGGGACGAUAAUGACGGUACCCGGAGAAGAAGCUCCGGCUAACUUCGUGCCAGCAGCCGCGGUAAUACGAAGGGGGCUAGCGUUGCUCGGAAUUACUGGGCGUAAAGGGCGCGUAGGCGGACAGCUUAGUCAGAGGUGAAAGCCCAGGGCUCAACCUUGGAAUUGCCUUUGAUACUGGCUGUCUUGAGUUUGGGAGAGGUGAGUGGAACUCCGAGUGUAGAGGUGAAAUUCGUAGAUAUUCGGAAGAACACCAGUGGCGAAGGCGACUCACUGGCCCAAUACUGACGCUGAGGCGCGAAAGCGUGGGGAGCAAACAGGAUUAGAAACCCCUGUAGUCC
rnacentral:rRNA from 1 species